rnacentral:rRNA from 1 species
GAUGAACGCUGGCGGCGUGCCUAAUACAUGCGAGUCAAGCGAACGGACGAGAAGCUUGCUUCUCUGAUGUUAGCGGCGGACGGGUGAGUAACACGUGGAUAACCUACCUAUAAGACUGGGAUAACUUCGGGAAACCGGAGCUAAUACCGGAUGAUAUUUUGAACCGCAUGGUUCAAAAGUGAAAGACGGUCUUGCUGUCACUUAUAGAUGGAUCCGCGCUGCAUUAGCUAGUUGGUAAGGUAACGGCUUACCAAGGCAACGAUGCAUAGCCGACCUGAGAGGGUGAUCGGCCACACUGGAACUGAGACACGGUCCAGACUCCUACGGGAGGCAGCAGUAGGGAAUCUUCCGCAAUGGGCGAAAGCCUGACGGAGCAACGCCGCGUGAGUGAUGAAGGUCUUCGGAUCGUAAAACUCUGUUAUUAGGGAAGAACAUAUGUGUAAGUAACUGUGCACAUCUUGACGGUACCUAAUCAGAAAGCCACGGCUAACUACGUG